rnacentral:rRNA from 1 species
AGAGCGAACGCUGGCGGCAGGCUUAACACAUGCAAGUCGAGCGGGCGUAGCAAUACGUCAGCGGCAGACGGGUGAGUAACGCGUGGGAACAUACCUUUGGUUCGGAACAACCCAGGGAAACUUGGGCUAAUACCGGAUAAGCCCUUACGGGGAAAGAUUUAUCGCCGAAAGAUUGGCCCGCGUCUGAUUAGCUAGUUGGUGAGGUAACGGCUCACCAAGGCGACGAUCAGUAGCUGGUCUGAGAGGAUGAUCAGCCACAUUGGGACUGAGACACGGCCCAAACUCCUACGGGAGGCAGCAGUGGGAAUAUUGGACAAUGGGCGCAAGCCUGAUCCAGCCAUGCCGCGUGAGUGAUGAAGGCCCUAGGGUUGUAAAGCUCUUUUGUGCGGGAAGAUAAUGACGGUACCGCAAGAAUAAGCCCCGGCUAACUUCGUGCCAGCAGCCGC